rnacentral:rRNA from 1 species
GAUGAACGCUGGCGGCGUGCCUAAUACAUGCAAGUCGAGCGGUCAGACGAGGAGCUUGCUCCUCUGACGUUAGCGGCGGACGGGUGAGUAACACGUGGAUAAUCUACCUAUAAGCCUGGGAUAACUUCGGGAAACCGGUGCUAAUACCGCAUAAUAUCUUUAACCGUAUGGUUCAAUAGUGAAAGACGGUAUUGCUGUCACUUAUAGAUGUAUCCGCUCCGCAUUAGCGAGUUGGUAAGGUAACGGCUUACAAAGGCAACGAAGCGUAGCCGACCUGAGAGGGGGAUCGCCCACACUGGAACUGAGACACGGUCCAGACUCCUACGGGAGGCAGCAGUAGGGAAUCUUCCGCAAUGGGCGAAAGCCUGACGGAGCAACGCCGCGUGAGUGAUGAAGGUCUUCGGAUCGUAAAACUCUGUUAUUAGGGAAGAACAAAUGUGGAAGGAACUAUGCACGUCGUGACGGUACCUAAUCAGAAAGCCACGGCUAACUACGUG